GCUUACGGCCACCCGGCCUGAGUACGCCUGAUCUCGUCCGAUCUCGGAAGCUAAGCAGGGUCGGCCUGGUUAGUACUUGGAUGGGAGACCGCCUGGGAAUACCAGGUGCUGUAAGCU
rnacentral:rRNA from 1 species